CGUGGAAGAGGCAGGAGUGGCCCAAGUGUUCUCGCGCCGUGGUAGUUUCUUUAAGAUAGUUAUCGUAGCUAGUCGUGUGUGCGAAGUUUAUAUUGGUGUGUUAUCGUGUGUGCUGGUGGUUUUUAAAAGAUUCGCGCCCACGCCGCUACGACGCCCAAGACACCACAACGAACCGUCGAGGCCAUUUCUGACCCCACCAUCAGGCUGCGAGGUUUUCCCGGGGCACGCCGGAAGAGGGACGCGAUCGCCAAUCAACGCGCCCUAGGCAGGGCAUCACCGAAGAAGAAGAAGAAGAAGAAGAGAGAAGGCAACCGUUUUUCCGUUCCGUUGGUGACGACCGACGGACAUCGACGCACGUGCCGCGUCGCGCCUUAGAUGAGACCGUAAGUUUCGAUCCGGAGCAAAGCCAUCCGUAGGCGACAACCGCAGUCGCAGCAUCAUCAGCUAGCCCAGCUAGCCCAACCGCCGACCCGCCGGCGAACCGCGUGUAAGUUUACCGCCAUCGUCCGCUAGUUCAACCAUCACAUGGACGCGCCGUCGUACUAGUCGUCGCGUCCAUUCUCAAAGUGAGUACUCCUUUUCUAAAUACAUGCGCAUGUGAUUUUUCGCCGCAACAUAGCCCUAUUGCGUUGCUAGGCGAAGACACGGCUUCGCCGUGAGAAAUAUGUUGAGUGCCGAUUAAGCACAAUAGUCGUUGCGUUUGCGUAGCAAACGAGAAAAUUGCACGUUAGAUUUUGAGUGAACCACACCAGGAGAGCACACACGAUAGGAGGCUAGGGACAGACCAAAUAGCAAUCAAUGGGAAAGGUGUAGAACUGUAGA